UGCAGCUGCUUUCUCAGCAUCGGCGGCUGCCACCUUAUUCUUCCACACACUAUAGAUGUCGGCAAACUUCGUGUAGCCGACCUUCAGGUCAAACAUAUCAUGGAUCAACUGCAGACAGAGGAUAGGUCGGGUUAUUAAAAAAAAAGAAGAAAGAAAGUUUAUCAAAGAGACAUACCCUGAUGAUGGUCGGAUAAAAGGAUGAAAAUAUUUCGACCACCGACCGUUUCCUCUGACGCUCCCG
rnacentral:lncRNA from 1 species